GCGCGUAUAGUUCACACACAGUCAACGUCAACUUGACCUUAAUAUCCCAUACGUUUCUAUAACGAGUGACUGAAGACAAACAUGGGGACAAACAAGCAUUUUGUGUGUCAGAAUGGAGAAGUGGGCAGGUGAUGGAGCCAGUGAUAUCCCAGUUCUCAGUGAAAGGGGGAAGUCACCCAUCGACUAGUGAUACUGAACAAGAACUAAUAACAGGAUUUAGUAUAAGUGUUAUCUUCUGAAACGAUGUCAACGGAGAGGCAACAGCUGCUUUUCGAGGGCUUCCUGAAGAAAAGGAAAGAUACAAUGAAAAUGAAGUGGUCAACCUAUUGGUUCAGGCUCCAAAACACAACAUUAUUCUUCUACACUAAGAAACAUGGGAGUGCUUCACACCUAAGAGGCCUGUACUACAUCUACACUGUGCAGUCUGUGCGUGAGAUCCAAGGGAGAAGCGUAAGCACUACGUGUUUGAAAUCACCAUGAAGAAUGGGAAGAGGAAAGUACUGGCUGCAGAGACAGGGGAUCUGAGGAGGGAGUGGAUUGGCCAGCUGUGGAGGGCCAUGCAUCUCUCGGGCCCAGGGGGUACAGACCCAGGCUGCAUACGACAGCAGGAUGUGAGGUCUGAUGACCUGAAGGCCAGAGGUCGCUUCAGCACCUAUAACAGCUCCGAAUGUGACAGCAUGAUGGAACCACUGGGG